rnacentral:lncRNA from 7 species
GUUUUCUGUGUUUAAGCUCAUGGCAACUGGCUGCCAGAAUGUGCAGCACACAAAAUAUAGAUUUGAGAGCAACCUUUGAGGUCGCCCUUCAAAUGCAGCGAAGAUAUAGGCUGAGAGAAAAGGAAAGAAAAACUAAAUAAAUCUGGAGGUACCUGAAAAGCCCAGCCAGACCUGGACUACUUGGCCUUGAACAGAGUCUUCUGCACAAACAGCAAGGGCAAGCCUACCAUCAGGAGCUUUAAAUGGAAUCAGUUAAGGCAAAACAAGAUGAAAUUUAAAGGCUGUGAAGCAAGGUCACUUACAUCCAGAUUCAGCCAACUACAUUUAAAAUGUGGUUCAACUAAGACUCUACGUUAGCUAAGCACGCAAGUGGCCUCUCCUGAAAGUGAAGAUCCAGGCUAUAGAGUCCAUGGAGAGAAUUAAUGGCAGACCAAAUGCAGGGCUCUGAUUUGAUUGAAGUUUCAGAUCUCCACUAUUUGUAAUGGGAUAUUAUGGACCAAGCUCACCUGCGCAAACCCACAUGUAGAAAGUCACAUUUAGACAUCUUAAUCUGAGCUACUGCAAUGGUUGAAGGCUGGCUGUAGACCCAUGUGAGAUUUCUCCACCUAGUGGAUACUCCACUUCAUUAACCAUUUUAUAAAAUAUCUUCACCUUGUCUUUAGCAACUGCUAAGUUAAGCAGCCUAAUUUCUCCACCAUUUCACUAGUCUGUCCAUGCUUUGUAGAGGGAUGAAAUGGAUGAUACACUGAGUCUUCUUCAGAUCUACAGCUUUGCCUUCCUGUGGUGUGGCAGAUGGCAAUUUUCACCCCAGCUAUCCCUGCAGCCCAAGGCAGAUGGCAAGACUCCUUGGUCUGUGCUGACAAACUAAGGCUUCCUCAGUGAUCAAAUAAGAUACUCCCAACCUAAUUCUGGCUCACCUGGAGCUGCCUCUGCAUCUGGAGAUGUGAUAUCACAGGGAAUAAAACACUGCUCAAACUGUGGUGUUAUGGAGUUCGUAUGGUGCUGAAAUGAGUUUGAAUUUUGUCACUUUGGAAAGUUGCAUGAAUUUAUUUUAAUUAUUCAAGCUGGUGUCACAGGACUAUUCUAUUUUUUAAAUAAAUGAGAGCAUGUUUAAAUAU